rnacentral:rRNA from 1 species
GACGAACGCUGGCGGCGUGCUUAACACAUGCAAGUCGAACGGAAAGGCCCUGCUUUUGUGGGGUGCUCGAGUGGCGAACGGGUGAGUAACACGUGAGUAACCUGCCCUUGACUUUGGGAUAACUUCAGGAAACUGGGGCUAAUACCGGAUAGGAGCUCCUGCUGCAUGGUGGGGGUUGGAAAGUUUCGGCGGUUGGGGAUGGACUCGCGGCUUAUCAGCUUGUUGGUGGGGUAGUGGCUUACCAAGGCUUUGACGGGUAGUCGGCCUGAGAGGGUGACCGGCCACAUUGGGACUGAGAUACGGCCCAGACUCCUACGGGAGGCAGCAGUGGGGAAUAUUGCACAAUGAGCGGAAGCCUGAUGCAGCGACGCCGCGUGCGGGAUGACGGCCUUCGGGUUGUAAACCGCUUUCGCCUGUGACGAAGCGUGAGUGACGGUAAUGGGUAAAGAAGCACCGGCUAACUACGUG